AUGGAGGAGCCUCUGAAGGCUCUUUUUGGGGUAACGGAAGAGAGCCUUCUGAUAUCCCUGGUUGAGGGUCACUCCAACCCCACCUCCUCCAGCUCCUCCGAGUUGAGCUGUGCUAUCGUGGGGGAGGUGGUACACCAGCUUAACUCUGGCCUCUCAGUGGCCAUUCAGGCCAGCCCGGGGAGUUGCCCCCCUAUGGACAGUCAGGACAUAGCAGCAGGCAAGGAGGUCAUUCGGGUAGCCUCGGUUCAGAUCCUGGCCGAGCUACAGAGCCAAACAUCUGAGCCAGAGUGGGUAGGGUUUAUCGAGCCCCUCAUGGACCCUGUGACUGAUGAUGUGCUGGAGGCCAUUGUCGGCACAAUGGACAAAAUGGCACAGGACUUCAACAUCCUAUUGGAUCUGGCCAAGAAGAUGACAAUCUUGGGGUCUAAAUUUCUGACCAAUCUUCAAUGUGACCUAGAUGUUGAGUGUCCAUCUGGGAAGGAAGGGACCACUCACUUUCUCAAAGAGACUGGAUCCUCUACCAGUGUGGUGGCCAGAAAGAUUCAGACCCUCUCUAGCCCCGACUUUCAGUCUAAAGCCCUGAAGGCGGUGAGCACCAUCCUUACAAGGAAAGUCAGCAGCUCUUCUGGCAUGGCUCCUUCCUCUAGGCCUUCUAGUGCUGCUCCUAGCCUUACUGAAGCCCCGCUGAAUACCAGCUGCACAGCCCUGACAUCUGUAACCUCCACUGCCACAGUGAUUGUUAAGGCAUUUGUGGGAGGCAUGGAGACGAUAGCAUCAUUUGAAGACACAUGUGAAGCAGUUGAUUGGCCAGUUCCUGUAAAUGACCACAAAACAGGGUCUUCACAGAAGAUAACCUUCUCUCUAGCCGGCACACUCUAUGGCCGUAUACGAGCAAAGCUGAGGGACCUUUUAACUCUAGCCGCUCGAGAAGAAGGUGUGGCAAAGGAUGCUUCUCUUCGGGAGUCUUCAGACACCCUGGAAAAGGCAACUGUUUCAACUGUUGAGGUCCAGUUACCCAGCACCGAACACAGUAGAGUUCCCAGAGAGAGCCAACCAAUACCAGCUCUCUGUCUCUCCAAUCUGGAUACCAGUACUCAAGAAGUUCUUAGCAGUGUUUUUUCCAUCUACAAGUCAGAGUUAUCAAAAGUGGAGAGUAAAUCCUUAGCCGUUGUCAGUUCAUCUGAUGAGUCCCUAGAGGCUUGUUGGUUUGUUGAUGGUGUCCUAUCAAAGCUUGAUGACUAUACUAUUUCCCAGUCACCCUCACCCAAUGAAGACUUGAGCGUGAGUACUCAAUAUUCUCAACUGAGCUCAGAAGAGAGUGUCAGAAUCACAGAGUCCUCAACUAGUCUGAUUCAGAGCAUUAAGAACCUCUCUAGCAAUGACUUUCAGACUCAGGCAGAAGAGGCAGUGAGUAAAGUGCUGAUGAGAUCCAGUCAUUCCUUUAUCACACAGAUCAGCCAUACUGGUCUUCAGAAAAGUCUGCAGGCUGGCUUAUCAUCUAGCUCACCAUCAGAGAUCCAUGUCCUUUCAGAAUCCAUGUCCUCCAUGUCCUCUGAGAAUACAGCCUCUGGAUUAGUGGAAACCUUUGUCAAAGGAAUGGCGACUAUUUUCCAGAAAAAUGAGUCCACUGACACUGUGCUACUGGAAAGAAGUGGGAGAGUUUCACAGUGCUCCCACGGGGGCUCCCAACUGGAUUAUACUGAAUUGAGUGUUAAAAUAUCAGAGGAGAAGCUUUGGUCAACAGCUAAGAACAUCUGCGUCAGUAUGAAGAACACACUUAAGGAUUUCUUCACAGGGCUGAAGCCAUCCGGAUCCGAAAGGACAGAAAUGGCUUCUUCCAAAGAGACCCUUGGGGAAAUCCUGGUUGCUAUCCAGAGUGAAAUCUCAAACUUCGGGCGAAUGAAGGAUUCCAGGGAGCUCCUUCAGAUCAAUGAUAUGGUAGGAACUAUGCUGAAGGAGAUUGAGAAAAGUGAGGAUGACAGUGAACAAGUCUGCCAAGACAUCCCUCGAACCUGUUCAUCUUUAUCCACUUCUUUAAAUGGUCGUAGUUCCUUGUCCAGCUCUUCAAAGGGUCCUAGGUCAGAGUGUGAGUUAGAGAUCAACCUCCCUGGCACUCCCAUCCCUGACGAAGUGCCUUUUGAUCUGACCUGCCCCAUCGUCAGGAGCUCCUGCAUCGACACCAGGGACUCUAAAAUGCCAGAGAUUUCUACAAGUGACCUAAAGACAAAGAUGAUGGCACACACAGAUGAACCCCUGCAUCGUAACAGUCCAAUGACUGACAGCAGCCGACCACCGAGUGCUAAAGUUUCUUUUCGAUCCUCCACUCCGUCUUUCACCAGCAAGGGAACCUCUUUGGUACCAAAGGGAGAGGGGAUUGACAUUGAAGAGAAGGAGGUGUGUAUCCCCAGCAGCUCUGGCCAUCUGAGGGAGCUCUUAAUCAUCCCGGACAUCAGCAGUGCCACUGCAUUCCCACUGCAGUACUUGAUGGACUCCAGCAAAGAUGAUGGCAUCUGUUUUGUCACCAUACUGGUGAUAAGGUUGCUAUCGGAGAUCAGACCCUCAGCCCUAGAUGGACCCUCCCAACAGGCAGCAGAUCUGACAGAAACAUCUCAGCAACUCAUCAGACAAGUCCUGUCUGAGUUCUGUGCUGCAUCCAGAUUAUCCAGGACACAGGCAUAUUCCCAGAACCUGAGCAUCCAAAGGGUGUUCAGAGGUGUACAUAAAAACCUCAUGGAGGAGUUUGGCUCUUAUAACACCCUGCAAGCAGCUAUGUCCUCCCAGGGCCCUGCAUUUGACAGAGUCCUGGUAAAGUCCUUGACCCAGCAGCUGGUACAGGGAUGCAAGGAGGCGUCAAGACCAGCUUCUGCUGCAACAAACCCAUCAGACCAGGCUGAGACGGAGAGGGGGGCUGAGCAGAAAGCAAGAAGGAGCUUCCUUUGCUUUUCAAUGACCAAACUCAGGAUCAACUUCAAGCGUUCCAAGAGAGGAAACAAAAAGGACUGCCAUUCAGUCCAGGACCAGACUGAGAUUCCCUCUACUGAUGGACAUUGCAUAGGUAAGGAUGUUUUAGAGCUCUGCUAUAGCUUGUAG
rnacentral:lncRNA from 1 species